rnacentral:lncRNA from 1 species
CAUUUCAAAUUUGAAAUUAGGGUAGUAUUUCUUUUUUUUUUUUUUUGAAGAGGAGUCUCGCUCUGUCGCCCAGGCUGGAGUACAGUGGCGCGAUCUCGGCUCACUGCAAGCUCCGCCUCCCAGGUUCACGCCAUUCCCUGCCUCAGCCUCCCCAGUAGCUGGGACUGAUUUGAUAACAAUAGGGACAUGCUGAGCUUGGCUUAGAGGGAAGAAAUAGGAAACGCAAGGUCAGGGAAGGAGAUCUGAAGCUUUGGAGACAUAGCCGAGCAGAACGCAAACGUAAAUUGGUGCUACUUUUAGAAUAAUCAGGUCUGUCUUUCUUAUACAUAAUGUACUUACGGAUAUACAAGUUAUUAUUUCCAGCGUAUACUGUGUAAGAAUGAAGAUUUCACUUUAGUAGAUAGUAAUGAAGUAUAAAUAUCUUGAAGUUUCUCAGUGAAACUUAUCAAAAACAGUACAGUUUUUAUGAUACAGGCACUGUCUCUGAAAACAUGGAAAGUGACCUAAUUACAGUAUUGCUCUUUGACAGUAUGAAGUCCAUAUCCAGAAUGAAAAUCACAUUGACUCUAAUUAACACAUAGACAAAAAAAAAGAAUAACUCCUCCUUAUGUUUGGGUUCAGUCAUAGGAUAUUAGUCGCUUUCUUUUUUUUUUUUUUCUUUUUUGUUGGAGACAGAAUCUCGAUCUGUUGCCCAGGCCGGAGUGCAGUGGUGCCAUCUGGGCUCACUGCAAGCUCCGCCUCCCGGGUUCAUGCCAUUCUCCUGCCUCAGCCUCCCGAAUAGCUGGGACUACAGGUGCCCGCCACCAUGCCCGGC